rnacentral:rRNA from 1 species
UACGAAGGGGGCUAGCGUUGUUCGGAAUUACUGGGCGUAAAGCGCACGUAGGCGGAUUUGUAAGUCAGGGGUGAAAUCCCGGGGCUCAACCUCGGAACUGCCUUUGAUACUGCAAGUCUCGAGUCCGAUAGAGGUGAGUGGAAUUCCUAGUGUAGAGGUGAAAAUUCGUAGAUAUUAGGAAGAACACCAGUGGCGAAGGCGGCUCACUGGCCCGGUACUGACGCUGAGGUGCGAAAGCGUGGGAGCAAACAGGG